CAGUAGCCGCGGUAAUACGGAGGAUCCAAGCGUUAUCCGGAAUCAUUGGGUUUAAAGGGUCCGUAGGCGGUCUUGUAAGUCAGUGGUGAAAGCCCAUCGCUCAACGGUGGAACGGCCAUUGAUACUGCAGGACUUGAAUUAUUGGGAAGUAACUAGAAUAUGUAGUGUAGCGGUGAAAUGCUUAGAGAUUACAUGGAAUACCAAUUGCGAAGGCAGGUUACUACCAAUUGAUUGACGCUGAUGGACGAAAGCGUGGGUAGCGAACAGGAUUAGAUACCCGUGUAGUCCCUGUCUCUUAUAC
rnacentral:rRNA from 1 species